rnacentral:rRNA from 1 species
GACGAACGCUGGCGGCGUGCCUAAUACAUGCAAGUCGAGCGCUGAAGGUUGGUACUUGUACCUACUGGAUGAGCAGCGAACGGGUGAGUAACGCGUGGGGAAUCUGCCUUUGAGCGGGGGACAACAUUUGGAAACGAAUGCUAAUACCGCAUAAAAACUUUAAACACAAGUUUUAAGUUUGAAAGAUGCAAUUGCAUCACUCAAAGAUGAUCCCGCGUUGUAUUAGCUAGUUGGUAAGGUAAAGGCUCACCAAGGCGAUGAUACAUAGCCGACCUGAGAGGGUGACCGGCAAAAUGGGACUUAGGCACGGCCCAAACCUCCUCGGGGAGGCAGCAGAAGGGAACCUUCGGCAAUGGCGGAAAGCCUAACGGAGAAAGGCGGCGUGAGGAAUGAAGGUUUCGGGACCGUAAACUCCUGUGGUAAGGGAAGAAGUUGGGUGGAAGGGAAAACGCAUGAAGUGACGGUAACUACCCAGAAAGGGACGGCUAACUACGUG